GUCUGCUGGACUGCUCAGUUGGUUAGAGCAUGGUGCUGAUAAUGCCAGGGUUGCAGGUUCGAUCCCCGUAAGGGACA